rnacentral:tRNA from 1 species
GGGCGAAUAGCUCAGUGGGAGAGCACCUGCCUUACAAGCAGGGGGUCGGUGGUUCGAAACCGCCUUCGCCCACCA